rnacentral:misc_RNA from 1 species
GGGCAGACCUGGGAGAUUGCGCAGUCGUCUCCAGCAUAGAUCUGGGCUGCGCCUUCGGGGAUGUCAAACCUGGUAUGGGUGUAGGCGAUGUUGCAUUCAGUGUUGGCGUCAAAUGUGGGGCCUUCACCAGUUAGUCUCAUGAUUGUGAGGGUGCCCAGGAAGAUUUUAGGAGACAGCUUGAUGUCCAGGUAGCCUUCGAUGACCCACUCAGGGAGGUUGAAGUAUUUGGCUUUCAGGAUUUCGAACUGCAGCAUGGCUCCGUCUUGGGACUGGUCGAAGGCAGUGAAGUCAUUGGCGUAUGAGGGUUUCGAAAAAUCCCAGUGGUUGAGGACCCAUCUGGAAAGGUCUUGGGGUGUUUUCUCGCAGUUUAUCAUGAUGUUGUUGGGGCGUAGGGCGUCCCUAAACCUGCGCAUGUAUCGCGCCAUUGUGCCGUAAAGCAUGACUGCGUGUUGUUGGAAGGAGGCUAUGGUCUGGCCUGGUUUGAUCUUCUUGGCCCCCAAUUUUUC